GAUGAACGCUGGCGGCGUGCCUAAUACAUGCAAGUCGAGCGAACAGACCUGCAUCUUGCUCCUCAUACCUUAGCGUCGCACGGGUGACUAGCACGUGGCUAACCUACCUAUUAGACUCGGAUUACUUCUGUAACCCGGACCCAAUAUCUAAUUAUCUAUUGAACCGCAUGGUUCAAUAUUUAAAGACGGUCUUGCUUCCACUUAUCGAUUGAUCCGCGCCGCAUUAGCUAGUUGGUAAGGUACCGGCUUACCAAGGCAACGAUGCGUAGCCGACCUGCGAGGGUGAUCGGCCACACUGGCACUGAGACACGGUCCAGACUCAUACGGGAGGCAGCAGUAGGGAAUCUUACGCAAGGAGAGAAAGCCGGACGGAGAAACGCCGCGUGAGUGAUGAAGAUCAUCGGAUCGUAAAACUAUGUUAUUAGGGAAGAACAAAUGUGUAAGUAACUAUGCACGUCUUGACGGUACCUAAUCAGAAAGCUACGGCUAACUACGUG
rnacentral:rRNA from 1 species